rnacentral:rRNA from 1 species
AUUGGAUUCACGCCGGAAACUCACCGGGAGGNACGGAGGNNUGGANAGCCAGGCUGAAGACCUUGCCCGAUUCUCCGAGAGGUGGUGCAUGGCCGUCGUCAGUUCGURCCGURAGGCGUUCUGUUAAGUCAGAUAACGAACGAGACCCUCRYCUUCARUCGCUAUUUSSUGGGCGACCRCSAGAGCACACUGGGGGGAUCUGCUGCCGCUAAGGCAGAGGAAGGAGAGGUCUACGGUAGGUCCGUAUGCCCCGAAUCUCCCGGGCAACACGCGCGCUACAAAGGUUGGGACAAUGGGAUCCGACCCCGAGAGGGGGAGGCAAUCCUGAAACCCUAUCUUANUCUGGAUCGAGGGYUGUAACUCGCCCUCGUGAAWAUGGAUUCCSUAGUAAUCGCGGGUCAWCAUCCCGCGGUGAAUGUGCCCCUGCUCU